rnacentral:tRNA from 1 species
UCCUGGUUAGCGAAGGGGGUACAGCGCUCCUCCGAACAUGGAGAGGUCCCUGGUUCGAUACCAGGACCAGGCG